GUCCACGCCCUAAACGAUGUCAACUGGUUGUUGGGAAUUCACUUUCUCAGUAACGAAGCUAACGCGUGAAGUUGACCGCCUGGGGAGUACGGCCGCAAGGUUAAAACUCAAAGGAAUUGACGGGGACCCGCACAAGCGGUGGAUGAUGUGGUUUAAUUCGAUGCAACGCGAAAAACCUUACCCACCUUUGACAUGGUAAGAAUCCUUUAGAGAUAGAGGAGUGCUCGAAAGAGAACUUAUACACAGGUGCUGCAUGGCUGUCGU
rnacentral:rRNA from 1 species